AGAUGGGGGCUGGGGACGAGCUCACGGAUCAGCAGGCCAGACAGCUCAAUUUUGAUCUGGAAUCAGCCUAUAGUGCGUUUAUGGCCUCGCUUCCCACUGCUGGCCUGUGAACGAUGAUCGGCUUGGUUCAGAGUUGCUUCUUCUUUCUGUUUUGUCAUGCUCUUGUCUUGCAAUGGUAUACAUAUGUGUAAUUUGGCUCAAGCUAUAUCGUUUGUCGACAACAAUGCCAAUCUUAUGGAAAGUUGCCCCCUACAGAUCGAUUCUUUCAUACUGAUUAUAGGGACCCUUGAUUGUAUUCAGCGUACAGUGUGUUUAUGGCCUCGCUUCCACUGCUGUUUGUGAUCAAAGGAUUGGUUUUGUUCUGAUCUGUUUCUACUUUGUUACGAUGUUGUCUUUUGAUCACUACUGUGGGUGCUAUAUAUGUAUAAUUUGGAUUGCGUUCUAUUCUUUGCCAAUAACAGAGUGGAUUUUACGAAGAAUCCCCAGAUGGAUUCUUUUGCAUAAUUAUUAUAUGUGGUGUGAUGUUUCUCCGUGAUGUCCAUCAAUGGUAGAAUGCUUGCCUUUGUCCUUUCUAUUGGAUAUGUUUCUUCUCGGUCAAUAAUAUGGAGCAAUAAGUGUCAAUUUAUAUUUUACUGUCCUGUUGAUAUUAGAUCUUUCAGUUUGCAAGAACAAUCUCGUUUUAAUCUAGGGCAGUUGGAGCUGAUUGCAUUGGUGUUUUCGCUUUGUGCACUUGCUUAUCCUGGACUGGUCCAAAGAUACAUGGCUGUUCAGUUAUGAAAAUACAAGUCAUGAUGUGUCUACACUUGGAUUUAACCAAAUUGUAUCAUUGAUUUGAUAGUUUUGUACGUAUAGUGUAUUCCAACUGUGUACUUCUCGAUAUCAAUAAUGGUUUUGUAAGUUUUGCUUCUGAAUUGUUCCUUUCUUUGUACUCUGUGGUCAUUGGAUCACUACUGCAGUGCCAUCCAUAUGUGUAAUUUGGAUUAUACUCUCUUGUUUGUCAAUGAUAAAAAUGCAUUUUUUGGGUGGAAAGUUGACUCUUAUCGAUGGAUUCUGUUGCAUAUUGGCUAUAUACGGUACAAUUGUACAAUGUUCGUUUGUGAUGUCCAUUCAAUGUAGAACACUUCUUCCUUAGGAAAUGAUAACUACUAUUCCCUCUGUAACUUAAUAUAAGUCAUUUUUUGACACUAUCAUGGACUCUAAAAACGUCUUAUAAAAAGUUACAGAGGGGGUAGAACAUAUGCCUGUAAUGCAGGUUAUUUCUCUUAACAUGCAUAUUCCUUAGACUGCUGGCCUGUGAACAAUGAUCGGCUUGGUUCAGAGUUGGUUCUUCUUUUCUGUUUUGUCAUGCUCGUGUCUUGCAAUGGUAUACAUAUGUGUAAUUUGGCUCAAGCUAUAUCGUUUGUGGACAACAAUGCCAAUCUUAUGGAAAAUUGCCCCCCUACAGAUCGAUUGUUUCAUACUGAUUAUAGGGACCCUUGAUUGUAUUCAGCGUACAGUGUGUUUAUGGCCUCGCUUCCA
rnacentral:lncRNA from 1 species